CCAGGGGUCGCCCUCUGGAAGGGAUUAUUCAGUCGUUUCUGAUCAGUCCUCCAUGCUGCGAAGGGUCACCCUUUGGAAGGGUAGGGCAUCCUGGUGCCUCUGGUCACGAACACCAAAAUGCUAUUUAAUGCAAGGCUGUUUAUACCUGAAGUAUUUUACUGAAGUCUCCGUUGGAUUCCGACCUGCAACCAAGCUAGCUAUGGAGCACCUAGAUUUUACCUCCAUGCAGCUCAAGAAACAUGCUAACUAUCUGGUCGUG
rnacentral:lncRNA from 1 species